rnacentral:rRNA from 1 species
AUUGAACGCUGGCGGCAGGCCUAACACAUGCAAGUCGAGCGGAGCGGCGGACGGGCGUGUAACGCCUAGGAACCUGCCUGGUAGUUGGGGAAAACGUCCGGAAACGGGCGCUAAUACCGCAUACUAUCAGAUGAGCCUAGGUCGCAUUAGCUUGUUGGUGGGGUAAAGGCCUACCAGGGCGACGAUCCGUAACCGGUCUGAGAGGAUGACCAGCCACACUGGAGCUGAGACGCGGACCAGGCUCCUACGGGAGGCAGCAGUGGGGAAUAUUGCACAAUGGGGGCGAGCCUGGUGCAGCCAUGCCGCGUGUGUGAAAAAAGCCUUCGGGUUGUAAAGCACUUUCAGCGGGGAGGCGUUACCCGCAGAAGAAGCACCGGCUAACUCCGUGCCAGCAGCCGCGGUAAUUC